CUCGUAGGUCGGGGACGCUGAAGACCUCGGUGCGCUGGAGCUCCUGGUCUCCAUGGCGACUGAGACGCCGCUAACGGCCUGCGGCCCUUCCGCUUCCGGCCCCGCCCCUUCCGCCUUGCCUUUCUCUCGGAGUACGUCAUCGCUGUGGUCGUCUUAACCGUUCGCGUCUUCAGCCUCGUCUCUUUAAAAGUGAGCUUACUAAUGUAAGGACCCAGGAGAAAGGUUUAACUGACACAGCCAGGCCUGUCUGCAAAACCUGGCUGGAGCAGAUUUUAAACCAAGCUGGAGAAAUCACUCCAGCUCUGGCCACAACCUAAUCUCUACAUCCUGGCCUUCAUCCUGGCAGGAAGCUGGUUCACUUCAUCCAAGGGCCUAGUUCCAGGGCAUCCCUCGCUCCUGGCGCUGGCGGUGCCACUCAGCCAUGGACUGGACAUCCAUGGGGUCCCGAGAUUGUAUAAAUAGGAGCCAUGAACCACGACCUCAGUGAGGUCUGAAGACUCCAGAGCCUUCAGCUGGAGCAUGGCCUUGCUUCUCUGCUCGAUCCCCCACCAGUAAUUCCUGUUGACUCCACCUUCAAAAUGUAUCUGGAACCCUACC